CCUACGGGAGGCAGCAGUGAGGAAUAUUGGUCAAUGGACGAGAGUCUGAACCAGCCAAGUAGCGUGAAGGAUGACUGCCCUAUGGGUUGUAAACUUCUUUUAUAUGGGAAUAAAACGUUCCACGUGUGGGAUUUUGUAUGUACCAUAUGAAUAAGGAUCGGCUAACUCCGUGCCAGCAGCCGCGGUAAUACGGAGGAUCCGAGCGUUAUCCGGAUUUAUUGGGUUUAAAGGGAGCGUAGGUGGAUUGUUAAGUCAGUUGUGAAAGUUUGCGGCUCAACCGUAAAAUUGCAGUUGGAACUGGCAGUCUUGAGUACAGUAGAGGUGGGCGGAAUUCGUGGUGUAGCGGUGAAAUGCUUAGAUAUCACGAAGAACUCCGAUUGCGAAGGCAGUUCACUGGACUGCAACUGACACUGAGGCUCGAAAGUGUGGGUAUCAAACAGGAUUAGAUACCCUUGUAGUC
rnacentral:rRNA from 1 species